CUGGCUCAGGAUGAACGCUGGCGGUAUGCUUAACACAUGCAAGUCGAACGGUGUCUUCGGACACAGUGGCGGACGGGUGAGUAACGCGUGAGAAUCUGGCUUCAGGUCGGGGACAACCACUGGAAACGGUGGCUAAUACCGGAUGUGCCGAAAGGUGAAAGAUUUAUUGCCUGAAGAUGAGCUCGCGUCUGAUUAGCUAGUAGGUGUGGUAAGAGCGCACCUAGGCGACGAUCAGUAGCUGGUCUGAGAGGAUGAUCAGCCACACUGGGACUGAGACACGGCCCAGACUCCUACGAGAGGCAGCAGUGGGGAAUUUUCCGCAAUGGGCGAAAGCCUGACGGAGCAAUACCGCGUGAGGGAGGAAGGCUCUUGGGUUGUAAACCUCUUUUCUCAGGGAAGAAAAAAAUGACGGUACCUGAGGAAUAAGCAUCGGCUAACUCCGUGCCAGCAGCCGCGGUAAUACGGAGGAUGCAAGCGUUAUCCGGAAUGAUUGGGCGUAAAGCGUCCGCAGGUGGCUAUGUAAGUCUGCUGUUAAAGAGUGAGGCUCAACCUCAUAAAAGCAGUGGAAACUACAUAGCUAGAGUGCGUUCGGGGCAGAGGGAAUUCCUGGUGUAGCGGUGAAAUGCGUAGAGAUCAGGAAGAACACCGGUGGCGAAAGCGCUCUGCUAGGCCGCAACUGACACUGAGGGACGAAAGCUAGGGGAGCGAAUGGGACUAGAUACCCCAGUAGUCCUAGCCGUAAACGAUGGAUACUAGGCGUGGCUUGUAUCGACCCGAGCCGUGCCGUAGCUAACGCGUUAAGUAUCCCGCCUGGGGAGUACGCACGCAAGUGUGAAACUCAAAG
rnacentral:rRNA from 1 species